AACGCAAGUUGCGCCCGAAGCCAUCCGGCCGAGGGCACGUCUGCCUGGGCGUCACACACCGUUGCCCCCCCAAACCCCGUCGGGGAAGAAGGGGGGCGGAUGCUGGCCUCCCGUGAGCCUCGCCUCGCGGCUGGCCCAAAUGCGAGAUCUCUGCUGCGAGCGUCGCGGCGAUGGUGGUUGUCGAAUAACUCGGUGCCCCGUCGCGAACGCCCCCAGCGUGCUGUCUCGGAACGACCCCUGCGCGCGGCCUCGCGCCGCGCUUCCAACGCGACCCCAGGUCAGGCGGGGCUACCCGCUGAAUUUAA
rnacentral:misc_RNA from 1 species